CUGGGGAUGGCACAACACAUUAAUUAAAUCACUUCUACCAGCUAAGUGGUGACACUGUGAUUUAUAGCACAGCUAACUCAACAAGACAUCGCCAUUUGCUGGGCACCAAGAAGAGGAACAGCUAAGCCAGGAAGCAGUCCAAGGAUCACACAAUGCUCUACAGACAAUAAAUUGAUCCUCCUCUGGGGAAGUGACACAGAUCACGUGCUGCUGCUGCCGCCACCGCCGCUGCCCCCGCCACAAGAAACAAGAAUUUUGGAAAGCAUAUUCAUUAUGUGGCUGUUAAAAGCAACAGAGCAUGCAAACCUCACCCUGGCUGGGUUACCUGAAAAUCAACAUCUCCAUCUGAUUAAGUGACUACCAGCCAGUCACCUUUCCCCUCUAACCUUGAUGUGGCAGGGCUGUGACAAGUGCACACAGUGUGACAUCAAAAACAUUUCAUCUGUCUUCACAACUAGCUUAGUUUGUUUUAAUGGCCUAGUCCCUUGCCGAGUUUCUAUCAUGAACCUUAGUUUUCAGGAAUGAAUCUCCCAGCUGUUUGAAAUGGGAUCAAGCUGAAAAUGAUGCCAGGGAGAAUCCCAGUUCAGUCUAAAGCCUUCACCCUCCCCCCCGCCCCAACCAAAACACUCAUUAAAUUUCAAAGGAAUUUGGCCUAAAUCCUGUCAUCGGGAUUUGGCCCUUAAACAAAUUUGACCCAUCAGGUCAUUUUUUUGACUUGU